UUUAUGUCUAUCGAUUAUUAUUUAUAAUAAUGUCAUUAAGGUCUUGGUUUGAUUAUUUAUAUCACGUGCCCAUGUGACCUUUUUCAGAUUCAAAAGAGUGACCAUGGAAUUUUCCAUUUUAGGACAGGCUUGCAGAAAAUGAGUUCAAAGCUGAAUACCAGGCUGAGGGAGUGUGACCAGAGACUGACAGAGGUGCGUAAUGAGUACCUUCUGACACUGUCUGCCAUCAACCUCAUCACCAGUACACUACACUGCAGAGCUGCCUGCCAUCAUGAUGAGACUGGACAGUGACCUGUAUGAGCAAAUCCGAGAACACUUCACUCUCUUGUGCUGCACAGAGAUCGACACCUGCCGGUCAACGCAUAGUAACUUUAGCAAGAUCUGCGAGAACUCCACCAAGGUGUCUAGAGAACAGAACAUCCAGAUCUUCCUCCAGGAGUUCCCGGUCUUCACCAGAACGCCGGCUUUCACUUCCAGUUGCCCCUAAAGACAAGGUGUGCAUUCUGAAGCAACAUAGCUCCAGUGCUGAGGGGGAGAGCUGUUUGGACAAGGAGGCCCGCAAGUGGUCUGCUAAGGCUGCCAAAGACUACAAGAUCAUCUCACACGGAGAUAGGGCCCUGCAGAUGCUGGACAGGCGUUUCAAACUGCUGUCAGGAGACACAGGAGUCAGUGUGGAACAGAAGAUGGUGGAGGUGAAGGAGAUGUAGGAAAGCACAGGUUGACUACUACUAGCCCAACGCUACUGUUACUGUUAGCUACUACUAGCCCAAC
rnacentral:lncRNA from 1 species